GAGGGGAGGAGUGGAUGACUCAAGGGCCAUUUAGGAGAUAAAUGGACAUGAUUGGGUGAUGGGUUUGGUGGGAAGGAUGAGGGCGAGGGAGUUGUUAGGAUGACACCUAGGUUUCUGGAUAGAACUGUUGCCAGGCAACAGAGUGAAAGCCAGGAGAGAGUGGGAAAGAGGUGGGACACACUUUCCCUUGCAGCUGUUAUUAUGCUUGUGUUUGCAAAAUAAGGGGUGCUGGGAGUGUGGGCAUGCAUAGCUCCCUGAUUGCCUGUCCAGGGGUGAGGAGGCUGAUUUGAAGACGUUGUACAUUGUGGGCUAAAAAGCUGGGCCUGAGAGCUAGGGCUUCCAGUCUUGGCUCUGCAUGCACAUAGCUGUUUGACCUUGAAGGGGCAGGUUCACCCCUCUGGGCCUCAGCUCUAAAACUGAUGGCCCUGCUGGUCUGGCAUUUUAAGAGCACAAAGCAACCUAAGUCUUAUUUGUGUCCACUAGCACUAUUUACAGGGCUCCCCCUUGGAAAGUUAUUCCUUGUAGAUCCACUUUAUCUGGAGCCUGAAGGUUAAAACAGCAUAAAGUCCUGAAUGUGAGAUCUGAAAGGAAUCACAGAGCCCAUUUGCCCAAUCUUCUAAUUUUACAGAGAGGGACAGCACCUGUGUUUGACCCUUAUUUCUAUCCUCCUGCACUAUUCUGCACAUAGGAGAAAAGAUGGAGCAGUUUGUGCAAAGCCACAAAGCUGUAAGGCAGAAGAGCACCCUUUGGGGCCCUAUGGAGACUCUGCAUGGCCCCCUCCAGCUCUUCUAGCCUGUAGCUCUGCUGCAGUGAAGUCCACAUUAAAUAUUAACAGGGCAGCUCCUGGCACAGCUGUGACGUCAAUUACUGGGCUGCAUGGUGAGGGCCGAGGCUGCCUUUCCAAGGUGAAGCAGUAACUGGAAUUCAACUGGCUCAAAUGGCGUCCCAGGGGACUGGCUGUUGGGACUCAGAGAAGAUGCUGCUAAUGUAAGGUGUGGCAAGGGUCCAAAAGCUUUCCUCUCAUCUCCCUGGUUCCCUCAGGGCCUGGGUGGCAUCGUGAUGAUGACACAAGGCAUUCAGUCAUUUGGCAAGUAUUUACUGAGCACAUGCUGUAUGCCAAGCACAGUGCUAGGCUCUGGGCAUACGGCCAUGAGCACGACAAGGUCCCUGCAUCAUGGGACUCCCCAUCUGGCAGAGGAGAGGGAGAAACAGUCUCAGCACAGAGGGGUAAACCCAGCACUCUGGGCCAGAGCAGGUGCUCGCCCCAGCCUGAGGCUGAGGGGUCCUUCCAGAGGAAGCUAGGGUUCUGCUGAAACCUGAAGAAGGAGCCCAAGUUAGGUAUGGAAAGAAGAGGGGUGAGUGUUUCAGGCAGAGGGAACAGGAUCAGAGUUCAGAUCCUGGUUCCACCCCUUCCUAGCCAUUUAUAUGCAAAUUGGGCUUCCACCUUACAGGGUCAAUAUGAGGACUAAAUGAAGCCAUGGCUAGAGAUAGCACAGGGCUUGAUGCAGAGUGAGAGCUCGGGGGUAGCUGUUAUGAAAACAGCUCUGUGCCCUUAUAUAAUUCCUUUGUCCUGCCAGGAAUUCCUCCCCGCAUGUUGCGAGCAGAGAAACUGAGGCUCACAGGGGCGACCUAACACACCCAGGGUUAUAUUGUUAUACAGGAUUAUAUUGGUUAUACAGGAUUAGACCUCAGGCUGGACACACGAUCCCAGGCUUUCACUUGGGCUUUUUGCCAUUCUUCAGCCACAGGCAACCCAAGUAGCCGUCUCAGCUCAGCGAGACACAAAAUGUCACCGGCGAUCCCAGUGUGAGUUGCUGGUCUCGGCUUCUUUGAGGUAAUGCCACAGCUGUCUGAGGAUAAGCCCAGGCCUAGGCAUAGACCUGAUUCUGCUGCUAACCUGCUGUGUGACUGUGGGUGAAUUACUUUCCCUCUCUGAGACUCAGUUCCCUGUAGUUAAUACUAAUACCAGCUGUCAUUGCCUGGGCCUCUGACCCUCCCAACAGAGCUGUGACAGAUGACUAUUUUUAAUGCCAUAUUAAAGAUGAGGAACCAGUCUAAGAGGGGCAAAGUGACAUGCACAAGGCCUAACAACAAGUGGGAGCUGGGUUUGG
rnacentral:lncRNA from 1 species